rnacentral:lncRNA from 1 species
UUUUUUUCUUUUUUUUUAUAUAUUAUGGGCCGACGGGAAGAAGAAGACCUCCCCUGGCAUGGUGGCGCGGCCGCGAGCGGCAUGGCCCUUGCGGCCACCGGUUGCUCUCCGGCCACCACGGGGGAGAAGGGUACGGCGGCGGAAGCCUGAGCGCCGCCGUCCUUCCUCCUUUUCCCCUCCGCCCGCCUCGGCAAUGGUGGUCAUGGCGGGUCGCAGCCGCUGCUGGCUCGCCGGGGCGGCGGGCCAUGGCUGCCGGGGUGGCGUCGGCCAUGGCUUCCCCCUCUCCCUUCCGGCGAGCCAGCAGCGGCUGCCGGGGUGGCGGCGGCCAUGGCUGCCCCCUCUCCCUUCCUUCUGUUCUCAAACAAAG